UACGUAGGGGGCGAGCGUUGUCCGGAAUCAUUGGGCGUAAAGCGCGUGUAGGCGGCCACGUAAGUCCGCUCUGAAAGCCCGGGGCUCAACCCCGGGAGGCGGGUGGAUACUGCGUGGCUCGAGUCCGGUAGGGGAGUGUGGAAUUCCCGGUGUAGCGGUGAAAUGCGCAGAGAUCGGGAGGAACACCCGUAGCGAAGGCGGCACUCUGGGCCGGUACUGACGCUGAGGAGCGAAAGCGUGGGGAGCAACAGG
rnacentral:rRNA from 1 species